UACGGAGGGGGCUAGCGUUGUUCGGAAUUACUGGGCGUAAAGCGCACGUAGGCGGCUUUGUAAGUUAGAGGUGAAAGCCCAGGGCUUAACCCUGGAAUUGCCUUUAAGACUGCAUCGCUAGAAUCGUGGAGAGGUAAGUGGAAUUCCUGGUGUAGCGGUGAAAUGCGUAGAUAUCAGGAGGAACACCCGUGGCGAAGGCGAUGGCCUGGACCUCGAGCUGACGCUGAGGCGCGAAAGCGUGGGGAGCGAUCCGG
rnacentral:rRNA from 1 species